rnacentral:rRNA from 1 species
GUGGGGAAUAUUGGACAAUGGGCGCAAGCCUGAUCCAGCCAUGCCGCGUGUGUGAAGAAGGCCUUUUGGUUGUAAAGCACUUUAAGCGAGGAGGAGGCUACUUGGAUUAAUACUCUAGGAUAGUGGACGUUACUCGCAGAAUAAGCACCGGCUAACUCUGUGCCAGCAGCCGCGGUAAUACAGAGGGUGCGAGCGUUAAUCGGAUUUACUGGGCGUAAAGCGUGCGUAGGCGGCUUUUUAAGUCGGAUGUGAAAUCCCUGAGCUUAACUUAGGAAUUGCAUUCGAUACUGGGAAGCUAGAGUAUGGGAGAGGAUGGUAGAAUUCCAGGUGUAGCGGUGAAAUGCGUAGAGAUCUGGAGGAAUACCGAUGGCGAAGGCAGCCAUCUGGCCUAAUACUGACGCUGAGGUACGAAAGCAUGGGGAGCAAACAGGAUUAGAAACCCUAGUAGUCC